rnacentral:rRNA from 1 species
UGAAAUCUGGCCCCCUCGGGGCCCGAGUUGUAAUUUGCAGAGGAUGCUUUUGGCGCGGUGCCUUCUAAGUUCCCUGGAACGGGACGCCAUAGAGGGUGAGAGACCCGUACGGUUGGACACCAAGCCUUUGUAAAGCUCCUUCGACGAGUCGAGUAGUUUGGGAAUGCUGCUCUAAAUGGGAGGUAUAUUUCUUCUAAAGCUAAAUACCGGCCAGAGACCGAUAGCGCACAAGUAGAGUGAUCGAAAGAUGAAAAGCACUUUGAAAAGAGGGUUAAACAGCACGUGAAAUUGUUAAAAGGGAAGCGCUUGUGACCAGACUUGCGCCCGGUGAAUCACCCAGCUCUCGCGGCUGGGGCACUUUGCCGGCUCAGGCCAGCAUCAGCUCGCCGUCGGGGACAAAAGCUUCGGGAACGUGGCUCUCUUCGGGGAGUGUUAUAGCCCGUUGCACAAUACCCUUCGGCGGGCUGAGGUACG